rnacentral:rRNA from 1 species
ACUCCUACGGGAGGCAGCAGUGGGGGAUAUUGCACAAUGGAGGAAACUCUGAUGCAGCGACGCCGCGUGAGGGAAGAAGGUCUUCGGAUUGUAAACCUCUGUCUUCGGGGACGAACAAAUGACGGUACCCGAGGAGGAAGCCACGGCUAACUACGUGCCAGCAGCCGCGGUAAU